rnacentral:rRNA from 1 species
AGAGUUUGAUCCUGGCUCAGGAUGAACGCUGGCGGCGUGCUUAACACAUGCAAGUCGAACGAACCUUCGGGUUAGUGGCGGACGGGUGAGUAACGCGUGAGAAUCUGCCCUCAGGAGGGGGAUAACGGCUGGAAACGGCCGCUAAUACCCCAUAUGCCGAGAGGUGAAACGAGUUUUCGCCUGAGGAUGAGCUCGCGUCUGAUUAGCUAGUUGGUGGGGUAAGAGCCUACCAAGGCAUCGAUCAGUAGCUGGUCUGAGAGGAUGAUCAGCCACACUGGGACUGAGACACGGCCCAGACUCCUACGGGAGGCAGCAGUGGGGAAUUUUCCGCAAUGGGCGAAAGCCUGACGGAGCAACGCCGCGUGAGGGAUGAAGGCCUCUGGGCUGUAAACCUCUUUUAUCAAGGAAGAAGAUCUGACGGUACUUGAUGAAUAAGCCACGGCUAAUUCCGUGCCAGCAGCCGCGGUAAUACGGGAGUGGCAAGCGUUAUCCGGAAUUAUUGGGCGUAAAGCGUCCGCAGGCGGCCUGAUAAGUCUGUUGUCAAAGCGUGGAGCUCAACUCCAUUUCGGCAAUGGAAACUGUGAGGCUUGAGUGUGGUAGGGGCAGAGGGAAUUCCCGGUGUAGCGGUGAAAUGCGUAGAUAUCGGGAAGAACACCAGUGGCGAAGGCGCUCUGCUGGGCCAUAACUGACGCUCAUGGACGAAAGCCAGGGGAGCGAAAGGGAUUAGAUACCCCUGUAGUCCUGGCCGUAAACGAUGAACACUAGGUGUCGGGGGAAUCGACCCCCUCGGUGUCGUAGCCAACGCGUUAAGUGUUCCGCCUGGGGAGUACGCACGCAAGUGUGAAACUCAAAGGAAUUGACGGGGGCCCGCACAAGCGGUGGAGUAUGUGGUUUAAUUCGAUGCAACGCGAAGAACCUUACCAGGGUUUGACAUCCUGCGAAUCCCUUGGAAACGAGGGAGUGCCUUCGGGAGCGCAGAGACAGGUGGUGCAUGGCUGUCGUCAGCUCGUGUCGUGAGAUGUUGGGUUAAGUCCCGCAACGAGCGCAACCCACGUCUUUAGUUGCCAGCAUUGAGUUGGGCACUCUAGAGAGACCGCCGGUGAUAAACCGGAGGAAGGUGUGGAUGACGUCAAGUCAUCAUGCCCCUUACAUCCUGGGCUACACACGUACUACAAUGCUACGGACAAAGGGCCGCAAACUCGCGAGAGCUAGCAAAUCCCAUAAACCGUGGCUCAGUUCAGAUCGUAGGCUGCAACUCGCCUACGUGAAGGAGGAAUCGCUAGUAAUCGCAGGUCAGCAUACUGCGGUGAAUACGUUCCCGGGCCUUGUACACACCGCCCGUCACACCAUGGAAGUUGGCCACGCCCGAAGCCGUUACUCCAACCC